GUUCUCUCUUCGCAGACCGGAAACCUCAACACUGACGACAACAGCGACUACACCAUAAGAAAAGCUAGUACUUUCCCAGAAUCACCACUGACUCCGGCGAGUUUGCUAUUGGUUUCAUCCAAACGAAACGACAGAAAGUCUCUCCAAUACGAUAUCGGAGUAGCAAACAUGCAUUCCUUUGGCUACAGAGCUAACGCUUUACUUACUUUCGCCGUUACCAUCCUCGCGCUAAUUUGCGCAAUGGCCUCCCUCUCCGAUAACUUCAAUUCUCCCUCUCCCACUUCCCAAAUCCAGAUAUUGAAUAUCAAU
rnacentral:misc_RNA from 1 species